GGGUACAUGCAUAAUAGAGCCCUGCAAGAGGAAUUAGAAGUGAAGCAGCUUGUUGAUGGCUCCAUGGGCUUCUGCCUCCUUUCUCUUGAAGCACAGAAUGGAGGAAGAUGCUCAGCUGAGGCACUGCCAACAGGCCUGGCCUGAAGAAGCACACCAUGCCGAAGGUCAGAUUUAUUGCUCUGAUAAGUUUUUGCCUAUGCCGUAACCCAAGCAGUAGUUUGAACCAACUCCCAUGUGGAAGAAAAUGUUCUGCAAAUCCAUGAGCAUUCUGUUGGCUGAAGAAUACAGCUCUUGGGAGGAAUGGUUCAAUCCAGAGAAGACCCAAGCCAUUCUGUGCUUAUGUAGAUAUACUACAUUCCAGGCUGGUUUUGGUGUUUGACAGAUGGAAUGCCCUUUUAUGGUGAAACUGCACUGCAAUUCUGUUACACGUGAACCCGACUAGACUAUGUACAGAGAUGAUAAAACUCACUCCAAGCG